rnacentral:rRNA from 1 species
CCUACGGGAGGCAGCAGUAAGGAAUAUUGGUCAAUGGACGCAAGUCUGAACCAGCCAUGUCGCGUGCAGGAUGAAGGCCCUCUGGGUUGUAAACUGCUUUUAUAGGGGACGAAAAAGGGACUUUCUAGUUCAACUGACGGUACCCUAGGAAUAAGCACCGGCUAACUCCGUGCCAGCAGCCGCGGUAAUACGGAGGGUGCAAGCGUUAUCCGGAUUUACUGGGUUUAAAGGGUGCGUAGGUGGGUCGGUAAGUCAGCGGUGAAAUCUUCAAGCUUAACUUGGAAACUGCCAUUGAUACUAUCGAUCUUGAAUCAUCUGGAGGUAAGCGGAAUAUGUCAUGUAGCGGUGAAAUGCUUAGAUAUGACAUAGAACACCAAUUGCGAAGGCAGCUUACUACGGAUGUAUUGACACUGAGGCACGAAAGCGUGGGGAUCAAACAGGAUUAGAUACCCUGGUAGUCCACGCCCUAAACGAUGGAUACUCGACAUACGUGAUAUACUAUGUGUGUCUGAGCGAAAGCAUUAAGUAUCCACCUGGGAAGUACGAUUCGCAAGAUUGAACUUAAAGGAUUGAGG